ACAUUGGGAAAAAGUGUAUUUAUUGCGGUCAUUUCCGCUUGGUAUGUAAGUAAAUGGGCGCACAUUAACGCCCGUCAGGUCCGACCAUAAACUUAAUCUCUAACCCGAAUUCCCGUCAACGCUAUAUUUUACCUGCGUAGGGCAACACCACCUAGAAACAAGGCCUGUGCGCAGAAACAAGAUGGCGGAAAUAGAAGGUUUGUUUACGUUUGGAAAAUUCGACGUCGAAGCCGCAUAAAAUGUUACUGCAAGAAAUAGAAAAGUAUUUAUUUAGAUUAUACGCUUCAAAUGACAUAAAAUUACCGGAUAAUUGGAGUUACAGCAAAUAGUUCGGCAAAAUCUGAUGUUGUUAAUGUCUUUUACCUCUCUUCAAAGAGCAAAUGUAUCGUGUUUUUGACAGUUGUGCCCCAAAAAAAAACAAAAAAAGUUCUUCGUUCGCUAAAAGUUUUUCCACGGUUUUGUAGGUGUAUGCACAAAUCGUCACAACAUCUGUGGGAUAACAUAAACCACCUCUAUCGCUGACAUCAAUUAAGCUGUAGUCUAGGUGUUCAAAAGCGACGUACGAAGCAUAGCCCGCAAUAAAUGUUAGAAUGGGCCAAGUAGAAUCUGGAAUUUCAUCUAAGUCGCUGUUGUUCACAAGAGCUUCAAAGAAAAAAGCAGAACCAUCAUAGCCUUUAAUAUCGUUAUCGUCAGCACUGGUACUAGAGUUGAGUACAUCUUGUGCACUUGUGCAGAGAUUUGCAGGUGAACGUUCUCUGAUUUAAUUAACAAAGGUGCAAGACUUUGCAUCCUAAUUUUCUUCUCAUUUUCCAGCACUUGCCGAAGACUAAUUUGAUAGUGGCUUCCUGAAUAUUGUCUGUAUUUUCCAAACCGCUCCUCCAACUUAUCAGUUUGAAUUUUUCCACAAAGGAAGAAAUUAAAAUCUAGAUGAUGUAGACAAUAUUCUGAAAGUUUGAUCAGUCCAGACACAGAUUGAGAUAUGGCAUGAUGGGUUUCUUUUGUUAAUUUGCCAUCUUCAAACGUUUUCCAGUGAUCCAGCCACAAUGCCCAAACUGUCUGAGAGCUGUUAUGAUCGAUUGGUUGAACACCUGAAGAACAAGUUUUACAUUUUGUCUCUCAAUUGUAGUGGGAAAAAGUGCCUUCAAGGACAGUGUAUAACCAUACUUGAGCAGAUUAUCUUUUUCUACCAGAUGUAAAGUUCUUAGUGCCUCAAACCGUGCUUCCCUUUUUAUGGAAAAGUCAUCAAAAUCGGGAUAUACCGUUAUUUGGCCAUUUUUUUGGUUCAGCCAAUUGUUCCGGAUGUUUUCCAAAAUGUGCACUGUGUCAAUAAUGAAAAAAAGUGGUCGGUCAUUAUCUGCAGGGUGUUUAUAGCUCUCACAAACUUGUGGUGGAUUUGAAAAGAAGCUCAUUGCCUUCCUGUUUAUGGCGUUGUUAUCAGUGGCCACAAAAACCAUGCAAAACUUCGGCCGUCAAUCUACAAGCUGGUAAAGUAUGUGCAACAUCUUUAUAACUUGAUCGUAUUGCACUUAACAUGAAAACGUGAGCAGUAGUAGCACAAUCUGCGCUGUUGUAAGACUUCCCCACAACAGUACCACCUUUGUAGUCCAUAUAUGGUUUGAUAUGAAUUUCAUCUAAUAAUAUUGCAACAAUUUUGUCAUUUUCAUUUAGGAAUUGCUGUUUCAUUUUUAUAUAAUGAAGAAAGUGGGCAUUGUGCUGUUCUAAUUGUGGAUCUCCAGAAAAUUUUGAACAAACUCUUCUUAUUGUUGUUGAAGAUGGAAGUAUUAAAUUUCCUGAAUUUUGUAAAAACUUAUAACAAUGUGGCGAAAUUGAGUGUAUUAAACUAGAAAAUAAAACAGUUUCCCAUGAA